GCCAGGUGUGGUAGCCCACACCUCUGUAUUUCCUUCUACUGGGGUGGCCAAAGCUGGUGGAUCACUUGAAUGAGGGAGUUCUAAACAUCAGUAGAGCUAGAGCCGUUCAGGUGUCCGCACCAAGGACAACACCAAUAUGGUGAGCACUAGUGAGUGAGGCCACCAGGAUGCCUAAGGAUUGGUGGACUGGUCAGGCUGGAAACGGAGUCAGUCAAAAUUCCCAUGCCAAUCAACAAUGGGGAUCAGCACUGUGAGUGGCCGCUGGGCAACACAGGGAGACUCAGUUUCA
rnacentral:SRP_RNA from 1 species